rnacentral:sRNA from 14 species
AAUUCGUAUACAUUGCCCAAUGAAACCAACAAAUGCAAAUCACAAUUAUUAUAGAGCCGACCGGAAUGUAUUGGACAGUUCAUCAAUCUUGCUCUUCAUAGAUGGAUCCUGCAUCAUGUCUUGCAUCGCAGCAAUGUAGUUUU